CCCGCACAAGCGGCGGAGCAUGCGGAUUAAUUCGAUGCAACGCGAAGAACCUUACCAAGGCUUGACAUACACCGGUAACGCCCAGAGAUGGGUGCCCCCUUUGUGGUCGGUGGACAGGUGGUGCAUGGUUGUCGUCAGCUCGUGUCGCGAGAUGUUGGGUUAAGUCCCGCAACGAGCGCAACCCUCGUCCUAUGUUGCCAGCGGGUCAUGCCGGGGACUCAUGGGAGACUGCCGGGGUCAACUCGGAGGAAGGUGGGAUGACGUCAAAUCAUCAUGCCCCUUAUGUCUUGGGCUUCACGCAUGCUACAAUGGCCGGUACAAAGGGCAGCGACACAGCGAUGUGAAGCCAAUCCCGAAAAGCCGGUCUCAGUCCGGAUUGGAGUCUGCAACUCGACUCCAUGAAGUUGGAAUCGCUAGUAAUCGCGGAUCAGCACGCCGCGGUGAAUACGUUCCCGGGCCUU
rnacentral:rRNA from 1 species